rnacentral:rRNA from 1 species
CGACCGCUGGCGGCGUGCUUAACACAUGCAAGUCGACCGGAAAGGCCCUGCUUUUGUGGGGUGCUCGAGUGGCGAACGGGUGAGUAACACGUGAGUAACCUGCCCUUGACUUUGGGAUAACUUCAGGAAACUGGGGCUAAUACCGGAUAGGAGCUCCUGCUGCAUGGUGGGGGUUGGAAAGUUUCGGCGGUUGGGGAUGGACUCGCGGCUUAUCAGCUUGUUGGUGGGGUAGUGGCUUACCAAGGCUUUGACGGGUAGCCGGCCUGAGAGGGUGACCGGCCACAUUGGGACUGAGAUACGGCCCAGACUCCUACGGGAGGCAGCAGUGGGGAAUAUUGCACAAUGGGCGGAAGCCUGAUGCAGCAACGCCGCGUGCGGGAUGACGGCCUUCGGGUUGUAAACCGCUUUCGCCUGUGACGAAGCGUGAGUGACGGUAAUGGGUAAAGAAGCACCGGCUAACUACGUG